AGAUAGAUAGAUAGAUAGAUAGAUAGACAGAUAGAUAGACAGACAGACGGAUGGAUGGACAGGUUUAUACUAGAUAGAUAGAUCGAUAGAUAGAUAGAUAGAUAGACAGAUAGAUAGACAGACAGACGGAUGGACGGACAGGUUUAUACUAGAUAGAUAGAUAGAUAGAUAGAUAGAUAGAUAGAUAGAUAGAUAAUUAAAGACAGUUUGAUUAUUCCUCAAAAUAAAAAGAUAAAUUAGCAAAAAUUUUGAUUCUGCCUCUGUUAUAUGUUGAUGACAUAUGAAUAUUAAAAAAAAACAUGGAAUUCUGAAACAGUGCAGAUAUUCUUGAAUUCUCUUAUGGCAAUGUUUGCAUGAAUACAAAGUUAAUCAAAAUGUUUUAUCUAUAAUAGAUCAAAAUUAUUUUUACAAAAAAUAUGUAAAAAAUUAAAAAGCACAUUUUGUUUUCUAAUGCAUGAAACAGUUACAAGAGCUGGAUUCAGGACUCGGAGGAAACUACUUGGAUUCCGAUGUUCCUAUAGGACAACAGAGAUCAUGUUUUUACUUUGAGCAUGAUUUUGAUGACUAAUUGAAAAUAAGCAAAGAACAGGUUGCCUGGUGGUUUAAAUAUCACAAAGACAAUGUUAUCUUCGUUAACAGAGUGUCAGCAGGAGCUGUGUACUCGUUUU